rnacentral:rRNA from 1 species
UGGGGAAUUUUGGACAAUGGGCGAAAGCCUGAUCCAGCCAUGCCGCGUGCAGGAUGAAGGCCUUCGGGUUGUAAACUGCUUUUGUACGGAACGAAAAGACUCUGGUUAAUACCUGGGGUCCAUGACGGUACCGUAAGAAUAAGCACCGGCUAACUACGUGCCAGCAGCCGCGGUAAUACGUAGGGUGCAAGCGUUAAUCGGAAUUACUGGGCGUAAAGCGUGCGCAGGCGGUUAUAUAAGACNGAUGUGAAAUCCCCGGGCUCAACCUGGGAACUGCAUUUGUGACUGUAUAGCUAGAGUACGGCAGAGGGGGGAUGGAAUUCCGCGUGUAGCAGUGAAAUGCGUAGAUAUGCGGAGGAACACCGAUGGCGAAGGCAAUCCCCUGGGCCUGUACUGACGCUCAUGCACGAAAGCGUGGGGAGCAAAACAGGAUUAGAUACCCUGGUAGUCCACGCCCUAAAACGAUGUCAACUGGUUGUUGGGGUCCUCACUGACUCAGUAACGAAGCUAACGCGUGAAGUUGACCGCCUGGGGAGUACGGCCGCAAGGGUUGAAACUCAAAAGGAAUUGACGGGGUCAUAGCUGUUUCCU